rnacentral:rRNA from 1 species
UAGGCAUUGUCGGGGUAGUAGGACCACGUUGUGGCAAGAGAUUAAGGAAGUAGAACGUUUUGGAACAAACGGCCGUAGACGGUGAAAGCCCAGUAUACGACUCUUUAACGAAGCCUAGUGGAAUCCUGAGUAGCGCGGAGCACGAGAAAUUCUGUGUGAAUCAGCGGGGCCCAUCCCGUAAGGCUAAAUACUCCCGAGAGACCGAUAGCGAACCAGUACUGUGAAGGAAAGGUGAAAAGCACCUCGAACAGAGGAGUGAAAUAGUCCCUGAAACCGUCUGCCUACAAGCGGUCGGAGCAACGUAAGUUGUGACGGCGUGCCUUUUGCAUAAUGAACCUACGAGUUACUUUCUCCGGCAAGGUUAAGGGCUUCAGGCCCGGAGCCGAAGCGAAAGCGAGUCUUAAUAGGGCGUGAUAGUCGGAGUGAGUAGACGCGAAACCAAGUGAUCUACCCUUGGUCAGGAUGAAGGUUGGGUAACACCAACUGGAGGUCCGAAUGGGUAUACGUUGAAAAGUGUUCCAAUGAACUGAGGGUAGGGGUGAAAGGCUAAUCAAACUUGGAGAUAGCUCGUACUCCCCGAAAUGCAUUUAGGUGCAGCCUUUAUUUAGUAUAGCAUGAGGUAGAGCGACUGAUUGGAUGCGAGGGCUUCACCGCCUAUCAAGUCCAGAUAAACUCCGAAUGCGUGCUAUAUAUUGAUAAGGAGUGAGGGCGCGGGUGCUAAGGUCCGCGUCCGAGAGGAGAAGAAUCCAGACCAUCAGCUAAGGUCCCCAAAUAACAGUUAAGUUGAACUAACGAAGUCGGACUGCAGAGACAGCUAGGAUGUUGGCUUGGAAGCAGCCAUUCAUUUAAAGAGUGCGUAACAGCUCACUAGUCGAGGAGUCCGGCGUGGAUAAUACUCGGGCAUAAACUGUUUACCGAAGCUAUGGAUGUAGAAAUACAUGGUAGGGGAGCAUUCCAACGGCGUCGAAGGUGAAGGAUGACCUUUGCUGGAGCUUUUGGAAACGCAAAUGUAGGUAUAAGUAACGAUAAAGGAGGUGAGAAACCUCCUCGCCGAAAGACUAAGGUUUCCUGAUCAACGUUAAUCGGAUCAGGGUAAGUCGGGACCUAAGGUUAAGCCGAACGGCGAUACCGAUGGAAGAAUGGUUUAAUAUUCCCAUACUACUUUAUGGAGCGAUGUGGAGACGGAGAAGUGAAAGUCCUGCCAUCUGACGGAAUAGGUGGUUGAAGAGUGUAGAUGUAGAUUCCUGUAGGCAAAUCCGCAGGGAGAGUCGACCUUGAUAGUAUGCCGCGUGCUUGCACAAGGCAAAAUGGACGUAAUCAGGCUCCCAAGAAAAUCCGCUAAGCAUAUUCAUAAAGUACCCGUACCGUAAACGGACACACGUAGUUGGGUUGAAAAUACUGAGGCGCUCGAGUGAUUCACGGUUAAGGAACUAGGCAAAUUGACCCUGUAACUUCGGGAUAAAGGGUCCCUACUGAGAGGUAGGGCGCAGAGAAUAGGUCCAGGCAACUGUUUAACAAAAACACAUGGCUGUGCGAAAUAGAAAUAUGAAGUAUACAGCCUGACACCUGCCCGGUGCUGGAAGGUUAAGAGGAGAGCUCAUCGCAAGAGAAGGCUUGAAUUGAAGCCCCAGUAAACGGCGGCCGUAACUAUAACGGUCCUAAGGUAGCGAAAUUCCUUGUCGGGUAAGUUC